UUUUCAGUUUAGCAUGACCAAAUUAAAUUCAUUAUAGGGUUCUUAAGGAACUAGCUGAAGCAAUCUCAAAACCAUUAGCAAUGAUCUUUGAGAACUCCUGGAGAAUGGGUGAGGUCCCAGAGGACUGGAGAAGGACAAACAUA